UACGGGGGGAGCAAGCGUUGUUCGGAUUUACUGGGCGUAAAGGGCGCGUAGGCGGCCAGCACAAGUCAGUUGUGAAAUCUCCGAGCUUAACUCGGAAAGGUCAACUGAUACUGUGCGGCUAGAGUGCGGAAGGGGCAACUGGAAUUCUUGGUGUAGCGGUGAAAUGCGUAGAUAUCUGGAGGAAUACUGGUGGCGAAGGCGGCAUCCUGGACCGACAUUGACGCUGAUGAGCGAAAGCUAGGGGAGCAAACGGG
rnacentral:rRNA from 1 species